rnacentral:rRNA from 1 species
UACGUAGGGUGCGAGCGUUGUCCGGAAUUAUUGGGCGUAAAGAGCUUGUAGGUGGUUUGUCACGUCUGCUGUGAAAAUCCGAGGCUCAACCUCGGACUUGCAGUGGGUACGGGCAGACUAGAGUGUGGUAGGGGGAGACUGGAAUUCCUGGUGUAGCGGUGAAAUGCGCAGAUAUCAGGAGGAACACCGGUGGCGAAGGCGGGUCUCUGGGCCGAUAUUGACGCUGAGGAGCGAAAGCGUGGGGGAGCGAACAGG